UUCUCUCGCUCGCGCAAACCCUAGCGCUGCACUCCUCCCUUGCGGCCGCCACCUCCGGCACCAGAUCCUGGCUGCCGCAUCUCCCUCCGUCCUCGCCACCGGCGCUCCCCCUCUCCCCCCUCCCUCCCCUCACCUCACCUCACUGGAAGAGAAGAGAGAGAUCGUGCACGCGAGUAGGUCAGGCGGCGGCGGCGGCUCCCAAAUCUACAAGGGCUUGGACCUGGUGCUCCAUCCCCAUGGCAGCGGCUAGGGUUCCUCCGGCCAUGCCGCCGGCCAGCAGCAGCAGCAGAUGCCGCCCGCCGCCAUGGCGCCGCCGCAGGCCCCCUCUGCAGGGGAUCCGCUCUACAUGGAGGAGUCCACGCAGCCCAAGCCCGCCGACCCGGAGCUCCCCAACGGCGCCGGGGACCCGGACCAGCCGGAGCCGGAGCGGGCGUCGCCCGUUGCCGCACCAGCGGCAGAGGAGGAAGUAGCGGCUGUGGAGGAGGUCCCGUCGAGAUCGGAGCCGUCCAAGGGUGCGGGGACGAACGCUGACGGCUGGCGCCCCUACACCACGGGGGAGCUGCUGGGGGAGGCUGCUGAGGCCGCCGCCGGGAGAUCCGACUUCGCCGACGGGAAUGGGGCCGGAUCCGCCACCCCGGAGCGCUCCAGGACGAAGGGCCGGACGAUGAGAAGGAGGUGGCAGAUGAUGAGCAUCAAGGGGAUCUUCGACCGCUACCAGCAGGCCACUGGGACCAGCCUGUGGAUUGAGCAGUAUGAGCGCACCUGCUUUGACGCCGACACAUCCAUCGUCAUCGCCUUCGAGGACGAUGAGGACACCGCAGGCGCCGUCGGCCUCGACGGCGGCUUCCACCGCUACCACAUUGUCGUCACAUACUAGUUCCACGACGGCGUCUGGGCCGCCGAGUCCUUCUGCAGCUGCUGUUAUUGCUCCUUCCAUAGUUUGGGUGGGACUCGUCAGAUCGGCCUCCUAGUUUCCCAUUUCAGGGUGACUAGUGAUGCAGCACACCAAGCAGUAGCAGGGAUACCAAGCAGCAGCAGGGGAGGGGCUCUCUCGAACGUCGCCGCUGCCAGUCAUUGCUACUGUCACUGAUUGAUGAUGGAUGAUCGCUGUUAGUUUAGCUCGGUCGCUGUUCGUUUAGCUCCUUGGUAGUCCCUACUGCUGCUGGUAGAAAUAGAAAUGGUAGUUGUAGUCCCAUGUAGUUGUAGUACCAUGUAGUACCUCUACUCGGGCUGCCCUUUGUUGCUUCAUUUCUAUGUUAAUUCAGUCUGUUGAAUGUAUCUACUAUCUACUUUGUGGCUGUGGUUGUUGAAAGAAAUAAAAUGGUUUGGAUACAUGCGUA